ACAAGUUCCCAGGUGAUGCUGAUGUUGC
rnacentral:miRNA from 1 species